CAAAUAUAGUCAUGCUGAGGAACUUCAGCAUCCAGAUGGGAUGAUGAAUUCUCUGAAUCAACCCCAGGAUGUUAUUGUCUCAACUCGUAAAGCUCUUGAUCUGUGUUUGGACUGGGAUUAUGUACGUGGAAAUUGGAUCUUUGCCGUGAACAAGAUUUGGCCAGAAGCUUCCUACCACACUUCCAGGAAGAUGCGACACACAAUUUAAGCAUGCUGUGCAACAGGCAGUGAUGCCCUGCCCAUCGUAUCUUUGGGAAGCUCCUAUCACUUUGUCACCAUGACUGUACUUGGUGCAUCAGAGGGUGGAUCCCUGUAGGCUGUAGCUGGGAACUGCUGGGUUGAGUUGGGAGGCUUCUGAUAACAGAGGGUAUCUUUUCCUGGGAGCACCGGUACCCACAGUGCGAUGGUGGGAACGAUCAGCAAAAACCUUCUCUGUGCAUUGCUGGCAGUCUGCCUCAUCUCUGGCCAGCAGCAUAACUGCCUUUGAAGUAUGAGGACGAGUUAUUUGGAAAGAGUGUGGGACUCCUCGGUGUCUCAUCUCACUCCAGGUUUAUUGCACAUGCGGUGGACUGGAAAGAUUGUUAACACCAACUGAAAGUGCUGGGAUUGGUGUGGCUGAUCUGCAGGCUCUGAAGCUUUCUUGCACCAUGCUGAGAUGUACAGGUCCUUGCUAUGUGCCAUGUUAUGCUUUCUAAAGUGAUGCUUAUUACCUAGAAAAAGAAAUUUAUUCAAUCUAAAGCUGAUAAUGGUUUAAACUGAAUAAAG